rnacentral:rRNA from 1 species
UAUAAUGGGUCAGCGACUUAUAUUCUGUAGCAAGGUUAACCGAAUAGGGGAGCCGAAGGGAAACCGAGUCUUAACUGGGCGUUAAGUUGCAGGGUAUAGACCCGAAACCCGGUGAUCUAGCCAUGGGCAGGUUGAAGGUUGGGUAACACUAACUGGAGGACCGAACCGACUAAUGUUGAAAAAUUAGCGGAUGACUUGUGGCUGGGGGUGAAAGGCCAAUCAAACCGGGAGAUAGCUGGUUCUCCCCGAAAGCU